UAACGUGCCCUGUGCUUCGGGAUAGCGUCUCUAAAGGGGCGAUAAUACCGGAUGCUGUCAUUGAGCGACAGUUCAAUGAUGAAAGGGUAACCGGCACAGGAGCGGCCUGCCUCCUAUCAGCUUGUUGGUGAGGUAAAAGCUCACCAAGGCAACGACGGGUAGCGGGACUGAGAGGUUGACCCGCCACAUCGGGACUGAGACACUGCCCGGACCCCCACGGGGGGCUGCAGUAACGAAUCUUCCACAAUGGGCGAAAGCCUGAUGGAGCGACGCCGCGUGCGGGAAGAAGUCCUUCGGGAUGUAAACCGCUGUCAGGGACAAGAAACUCCCGGUUCGCCGGGAUUGAUCUACCCCUGAGGAAGUCACGGCUAACUUCGUGCCAGCAGCCGCGGUAAGACGAAGGUGGCUAGCGUUGUUCGGUAUCACUGGGCUUAAAGGGUAUGUAGGCGGAAUGGAAAGCGUCGUGUGAAAGCCCUCGGCUUAACCGAGGAAUUGCUCGGCGAACUUCCAUUCUUGAGGCAAACAGGGGUGCGCGGAACUCUUGGUGGAGCGGUGGAAUGCGUAGAUAUCAAGAGGAACGCCGGUGGCGAAAGCGGCGCACUAGGUUUGCACUGACGCUGAAGUACGAAAGCGUGGGGAGCGAACGGGAUUAGAUACCCCGGUAGUUCACGCCGUAAACGAUGUGUAUUAGGCUGUGGUAGUUCUGACACUUUCACGGCCGAAGCAAAAGCGUUAAGUACACCGCCUGGGGACUACGGUCGCAAGGCUAAAACUCAAAGGAAUUGACGGGGGCUCACACAAGCGGUGGAGCAUGUGGAUUAAUUCGAAGCAACGCGCAGAACCUUACCUGGGUUUGACAUGCAUGUAUGGCUUCCUGGAAACAGGAUAGUCUGCCCUUCGGGGUGAAACUUGCACAGGUGCUGCAUGGCUGUCGUCAGACUCGUGUCGUGAGAUGUUGGGUUAAGUCCCUCAACGAGCGAAACCCCUGCCGUUAGUUGCCAUCGGGUAAUGCCGGGGACUCUAACGGGACUGCCGGUGUCAAACCGGAGGAAGGUGGGGAUGACGUCAAGUCAUCAUGGCCUUUAUGCCCAGGGCUUCACACGUGCUACAAUGGCGACCACAAAGCGAAGCGAAACCGCGAGGUCGGGCAAAUCGCAGAAAGGUCGUCCCAGUACG
rnacentral:rRNA from 1 species